rnacentral:rRNA from 1 species
CUCAAGCCCGCUCCGGCGGCACC